AUUGAACGCUGGCGGCAUGCUUUACACAUGCAAGUCGAACGGCAGCACGGACUUCGGCCUGGUGGCGAGUGGCGAACGGGUGAGUAAUACAUCGGAACGUACCCAGUAAUGGGGGAUAACUAGUCGAAAGAUUAGCUAAUACCGCAUACGCCCUACGGGGGAAAGAGGGGGAUCGCAAGACCUCUUGUUAUUGGAGCGGCCGAUGGCUGAUUAGCUAGUUGGUGGGGUAAAGGCCUACCAAGGCGACGAUCAGUAGCGGGUCUUAGAGGACGGUCCGCCACACUGGAACUGAGACACGGUCCAGCCUCCUACGGGAGGCAGCAGUGGGGAAUCUUGGACAAUGGGCGAAAGCCUGAUCCAGCAAUGCCGCGUGCGUGAAGAAGGCCUUCGGGUUGUAAAGCGCUUUUGUCUGGGAGCAAAUCCUUGUGGCUAAUACCCACCGGGGAUGAGAGUACCAGAAGAAUAAGGACCGGCUAACUACGUGCCAGCCGCCGCAGUAACAC
rnacentral:rRNA from 1 species